ACAGACGAUGGACCCAGGGUAAUCCUGAGUGGCAGCAGAGAGUCUGAUUACCUGCAAUCAUACAGCUAAUCAGUUCAGACAGAGCAAGCGCAUGCAAUGGUUGCAACAAGUUCAUGAAAGCGGUGUGAAGUUAGUUAUUUUUACUAAUCAAGAUCGGAAGGAGUAUUUUCACAACUAAUCAUAAGAACAAAGCUUCAUUUCCCACUGCGGUGAUAUUUAUGAAUACAACUUGAGAAUGUAAAGCUCCCACCUCAAGAAAAAACUCAUGUUAUCUUUAGAUAAGGUGUUAGUUUUACCCACACAGAUGAAUACACCAAAAAACGUUAUGUAUAUUGCACACUCUUCAAUCCUUUUAUAUAUAUGGGAGUUAGGAGAUUACAUUGUUCAAUAACCUUGUAUGAAAUACAUAGUCAUUGGAUUGCA